rnacentral:rRNA from 1 species
AAUAGAUACCCAGGUAGUCCACGCAGUAAACGAUGAUUACUAGCUGUUUGCGAUACACAGUAAGCGGCACAGCGAAAGCGUUAAGUAAUCCACCUGGGGAGUACGCCGGCAACGGUGAAACUCAAAGGAAUUGACGGGGGCCCGCACAAGCGGAGGAACAUGUGGUUUAAUUCGAUGAUACGCGAGGAACCUUACCCGGGUUUGAACGUAGGGAGACAGGAGUGGAAACAUUCUUUUCAGCAAUGACUGCCUACGAGGUGCUGCAUGGUUGUCGUCAGCUCGUGCCGUGAGGUGUCGGCUUAAGUGCCAUAACGAGCGCAACCCUUAUUUCCAGUUACUAACAGGUGAUGCUGAGGACUCUGGAGAGACUGCCAGCGUAAGCUGUGAGGAAGGUGGGGAUGACGUCAAAUCAGCACGGCCCUUACAUCCGGGGCGACACACGUGUUACAAUGGUAAGGACAAAGGGCAGCUACCGGGCGACCGGAUGCGAAUCUCUAAACCUUAUCUCAGUUCGGAUCGGAGUCUGC